UCAUUCCAGCCCUUUAGGGCUGGCACAACCACCCACUAGACCAUUACACUAUUUCAACUCCCAGCGAUGGAUGCCUCGGCUCGCGCCUCGAUGAAGGACGCAGCAAAGUGCGAUAUCCAGCAUGAUUUGCAACUUCUUGCGAUUGCUAGACCUCUGAACGUAACCAACACACUUUUUGUACGUCCAUCUCAGUGAAUUU
rnacentral:rRNA from 1 species